GGGUUGUGAGGUUAAGCGAAUAAGCGUACACGGUGGAUGCCUAGGCAGUCAGAGGCGAUGAAGGACGUGCUAAUCUGCGAUAAGCGCCGGUAAGGUGAUAUGAACCGUUAUAACCGGCGAUUUCCGAAUGGGGAAACCCAGUGUGAUCCGUCACACUAUCAUUACCUGAAUACAUAGGGUAAUGAAGCGAACCGGGAGAACUGAAACAUCUAAGUACCCCGAGGAAAAGAAAUCAAACGAGAUUCCCCCAGUAGCGGCGAGCGAACGGGGAGCAGCCCAGGACCUUAAUCAGCAUCAGUGUUAAGAGAACAGUCUGGAAAGGCUGGCCACAGCAGGUGAUAGCCCUGUAUCUGAAAGCACUGGUGUUGUGAGUCCGAUGAGUAAGGCGGGACACGUGUUAUCCUGUCUGAAUACGGGGGGACCAUCCUCCAAGGCUAAAUACUCCUGACUGACCGAUAGUGAACCAGUACCGUGAGGGAAAGGCGAAAAGAACCCCGGCGAGGGGAGUGAAAAAGAACCUGAAACCGUGUACGUACAAGCAGUGGGAGCACCCUUCGGGGUGUGACUGCGUACCUUUUGUAUAAUGGGUCAGCGACUUAUAUUCUGUAGCAAGGUUAACCGAAUAGGGGAGCCGCAGGGAAACCGAGUCUUAACUGGGCGAAUUAGUUGCAGGGUAUAGACCCGAAACCCGGUGAUCUAGCCAUGGGCAGGUUGAAGGUUGGGUAACACUAACUGGAGGACCGAACCGACUAAUGUUGAAAAAUUAGCGGAUGACUUGUGGCUGGGGGUGAAAGGCCAAUCAAACCGGGAGAUAGCUGGUUCUCCCCGAAAGCUAUUUAGGUAGCGCCUCGUGAACUCAUCUCCGGGGGUAGAGCACUGUUUCGGCUAGGGGGUCAUCCCGACUUACCAACCCGAUGCAAACUGCGAAUACCGGAGAAUGUUAUCACGGGAGACACACGGCGGGUGCUAACGUUCGUCGUGAAGAGGGAAACAACCCAGACCGCCGGCUAAGGUCCCAAAGUCAUAAUUAAGUGGGAAACGAAGUGGGAAGGCUCAGACAGCCAGGAUGUUGGCUUAGAAGCAGCCAUCAUUUAAAGAAAGCGUAAUAGCUCACUGGUCGAGUCGGCCUGCGCGGAAGAUGUAACGGGGCUAAAUUAUGCACCGAAGCCGCGGCAGCGAUAUGUAAAUAUUGUUGGGUAGGGGAGCGUUCUGUAAGCCUGUGAAGGUGGCCUGUGAGGGCUGCUGGAGGUAUCAGAAGUGCGAAUGCUGACAUAAGUAACGAUAAUGCGGGUGAAAAACCCGCACGCCGGAAGACCAAGGGUUCCUGUCCAACGUUAAUCGGGGCAGGGUGAGUCGACCCCUAAGGCGAGGCUGAAAAGCGUAGUCGAUGGGCAACGGGUUAAUAUUCCCGUACUGGUGGUAACUGCGAAGGGGGGACGGAGAAAGCUAAAUCAUCCGGGCGACGGUUGUCCCGGUUUAAGCGUGCAGGUGGACUGACCAGGCAAAUCCGGUCGGUUGUUAACACUGAGGCGUGACGACGAGCCACCACGGUGGUGAAGUGAUUGAUGCUCUGCUUCCGGGAAAAGCCUCUAAGCUCCAGGUUACCAUUAAUCGUACCCCAAACCGACACAGGUGGUCAGGUAGAGAAUACUCAGGCGCUUGAGAGAACUCGGGUGAAGGAACUAGGCAAAAUGGUGCCGUAACUUCGGGAGAAGGCACGCUGGCAUUAGGUGAAGUGGUUUACCCACGGAGCUGAAGCCAGCCGCAGAUACCAGCUGGCUGCAACUGUUUAUUAAAAACACAGCACUGUGCAAACACGAAAGUG
rnacentral:rRNA from 1 species